UGUUGGAGGAGGAAGAGGUGACACUCAAUGAUGUUGACAACUCUAGCCAUAGUGUUGAGGUAUUUGACAAUGAAGCAUGGAAGAACAAAAUGAUAAAAUAAGCUCAUGCAAUGUGGAAAACAGAAGGCAUACAAGGAUGUGAAAAAAAGGUAGCAACAAUACGAGAAGGAAAGAAGCAACAACAAAAGAAGAGAAGCAACAACAACAUAAGAAAAAAAAC
rnacentral:lncRNA from 1 species